rnacentral:rRNA from 1 species
GACGAACGCUGGCGGCGUGCCUAAUACAUGCAAGUCGAGCGAACGGACCAGAAGCUUGCUUCUCUGAUGUUAGCGGCGGACGGGAGAGUAACACGUGGAUAACCUACCUAUAAGUCUGGGAUAACUUCGGGAAACAGGAGCUUAUACCGGAUAAUAUUUUGAACCGCAUGGUUGAAAAGCGAAAGACGGUCUUGCUGUCACUUCUAGAUGGAUCCGCGCUGCAUUAGUUAGUUGCUAAGGUAACGGCUUAUCAAGGCAACGAUGCAUAGCCGACCUGAGAGUGUGAUCGGCCACACUGGAACUGAGACACGGUCCAGACUCCUACGGGAGGCGGCAGUAGGGAAUCUGCCGCAAUGGGCGAGAGCAUGACGGAGCAACGCCGCGUGAGUGAUGAAGGUCUUCGGAUCGUGAAACUCUGUUAUUAGGGGAGAACAUAUGUGUAAGUAACUGUGCACAUCUUGACGGUACCUAAUCAAAAAGCCACGGCUAACUACGUG